rnacentral:lncRNA from 1 species
AGCUGACUGUGAGCAUUCACUUCUGUAUUUGUCAGGCACUGGCAUGGCCUCACAAGAGACAGCUAUAUCAGGAUCCUUUCAGCAUAAUCUUGCUGGCAUAUGCAAUAGUGUCUGGAAAAACAGAAUAUCUUAUUCACCCAUUAUCACCAGUGCCCCUGUCUAUAGUAGGGAACCUUAGAGUACACAUGCCUUUUGUCAUUUGGAAUCCCAAACUGACUAUUGCCAUUGGCCCUAGGACAGUUUCACUGGUAGGACUUCAACUAUAAAGGCAAGCAGUUAUUUGACAUUAAUUUUUUUAUAGACAAGUAAGCUGAUAUGGGAAAGGUCAAAUGACCUUUCCAUGUUUAGGUAACUUUGCUACCUACUAGGGGUAGGACACACAACUACUCUCUAGUUUUAAGGAUAACAUGUCUAUGUAAUGUCAAUCUAGGAAUAGAAUGAUUCUUUCAAAACUUCUACUUCCAAAGAUGAGAAAUCCAUUUUCUGUCUAAUCUCACUUGGUUUCUUCAUUGUGGUUUGUAACAUUUAGUUAACAAACCAUUUUUAAAGUUUUUUUUCUCAGUUUAUACUCAGUUUUCUCAAAUUGAUUUUAAACUUUUCAGAGUUGUGAUUCUCAUGUAUCUUUCUAAGUAUGAAAUCAAAGACACUACUGUAAAAGCUGUAAGAGGAGUCAGCUGUAGUGAUAGACAUUUCUAAUCAAGAACCCAGAAGGCUAAAGCAAGAAGAUGGCAUGUUGGCAGGUGGCCUGCACCAUGUGGAGAGGACUUUCUUCCAAAAGUAUAUUUACAUGUUAUAAGUAUGUGUAAAAGAUUUAAGAAUUUUCUUUCCAACCUGCAUUAGGUUUCUAGAUUUUUGUUAUUGUUGUUAAUAUAGAUGGUGUAUCUUAUAGAAAAUAACAUAACUUCAUGACCAGAAUUUAAACAAGUACUCUUUCUGGCUUCAGUUUUCUCAUAAUAACAUGUGGAUGGCAGUGUGGGCCUCAUAAGGACAGGAGAGUAGCUAUCAGGGAGAGAGCAUGUCGGCUUCCCUUGGAUCUUGAUUUCUACUUAUCUCCAGGUUACCAUUUUUUCCCCUUCUAAUACUUCCAACCCAUUUUUGGAACACAGAGACUUUUUCAAUUAAAUAAGCACAUUUUAUAGGGACAAACAUCAAUGAAAACUGUGAAGUAAAAAAAAAAAGGAGUUAAAAACUAAAAACAUCACAAAAUUUGAGUUAAAAAAUGAAAACAUCACAAAAUUUAGGAUUCUUGAGUAAGAUUGUAUUCUUGUGUUUGUUCCCAAAAGAAAGAAGAUGUAAUUCAGAGCUUAAGUUUGGGACUGGAGAGAUGGCUCAGCAGUUAAGAAUUACUGAUGUUUUCCCAGAGGACGAGAGUUCAGUUCUCAACACCCAUAUUGAGCAGCUUGUAAGGGCCCAUAAUUCUAGUUCCAGUGGCCAAAUCCUGGAGUAGCAUGCUUGAAUACCAGGGCUGACUCUCAACCCCAGAAACUCAUCCUCACCCUCAACAACAACAACAACAACAACAAACAGCACAGUGGAAUUCCAAUUACAUUGGCUACAUGUAAAAGAGUGGCAAUAUUUAUAUUUUCAAAUAUAUUAGAUUUUUGGGGUACCAAAAUGAAUAGCUUUUUUUGCAGGCAAAUAAACUAGUUCAUAAAUAAGGGAUACAUGAAAUGCAGUACCACCCAAAUCUGCAUGUAAUUUUUAUAGAUGCAGAAUGAAUGACUUUCAGAAUCAUAAGAAACAACAGAUUACUGCAUAUAACCAAAAUAACCUUAGAAAAGAAUAAAGUUAGAUAUGUCAUUCUGAUAUCAAAGUGUAUGAAAAUCUGCAGUAGUUAAAACAGUAUGAAAAUGGUGUAAAGACAAAUAUAAAAUUCAACAGAACACAAAUCCCUCUGGUCGGUGCCAGCUCGGGGUCACAUUGGGCACGGAGUCGGUGGACACCCACAAGGUCCCUAGAGGACUCUCCACAUGAUCUUAGGACCACUGGUGAGUGGAACACAACUUCUGCUCCAUUCCAAUCGUGCAGGACCUGAGACAGCAAUAGGGAAGCAGAAAACCCACCCUGACCAGGGUCACAAAUCCAUUCCGGUCAGCGACAGCACCGGGUCACCUGGGAGCGGAGUCGGCAGACACGCGCAAGGUCCUUAGAGGACUCUUCACGCGAAUUUAGGACCUCUGGAGAGUGGAACAAAACUUCUGUUCCAAUCCAAUUGCACAUGACCUGAGACAGCAUUAGGGAAGCAGAAAACCCGGCCUGACCAGGGUCACAAGUCCCUUCCAGUCGGCUCCAGCACCGGGUCACCUUGGGCACGGAGUUGGCAGACACCCCCAAGGUCCCUAGAGGACAGCUUCUGAGGCAGACCCCUUUUCGGGUUCCAGACAUCUGGGCACCUUCCCUGCCAGAGAAGAGGUGUCCACCCUGCCCAGGAGGGCUUUGUGGCACUUGGGGAAGCCACAUUGGUUCCCGGAUCCCUCCAAGACUAGUCUGCUCAGGUGAGAGUGUGGACAACAGAAGCUAACAGCUUCUGGGACAGGCCCUGUUUUGGGCCUUCAUCUUCUGCCAGGAGACAGGUCUGAACUCCAGAUAUCUGUGCACCUUCCCUGCAAGAGUAGAGCUUGCCUGCAGAGAGUGCUCUGACCACUGAAACUCAGGAGAGAGCUAGUCUUCCAGGUGUGCUGAUAGAGGCUAACAGAAUCAUGAGAGGAGCAAGCUCUAAACAGAGACAACUAUAACAACUAACUCCAGAGAUUACCAGAUGGUGAAAGGCAAACACAAGAAUCUUACUAACAGAAACCAAGACCACUCACCAUCAUGAGAACCCAGCACUCCCACCUCACCCAGUCCUGGGCACCUUAACACACCCAAAAACCUAGAUCCCGAUUUAAAAGCAUAUCUCAUGAUGAUGGUAGAGGACAUCAAGAAGGACUUUAAUAACUCACUUAAAGAAAUACAGGAGAACACCUCGAAAGAGUUACAAGUCCUUAAAGAAAACAGGAAAACACAACCAAACAGGUAAAAGUCCUUAAAGAAAGACAGGAAAACACAUUCAAACAGGUGAUACAAAUGAACAAAACCACACUACACCUAAAAAGGGAAGUAGACACAAUAAAGAAAACCCAAAGCAAGGCAACGCUGGGGAUAGAAACCCUAGGAAGGAAACCUGGAACCAUAGAUGCAAGCAUCAGCAACAGAAUACAAGAGAUAGGAGAAUCUCAGGUGCAGAAGAUUCCACAGAAAACAUUGACACAACAAUC